rnacentral:rRNA from 1 species
AAUAGGUCUCAGUUCAGAUUGCAGGCUGCAACCCGCCUGCAUGAAGUCGGAAUUGCUAGUAAUCGCAGAUCAGCAUGCCGCGGUGAAUACGUUCCCGGGCCUUGUACACACCGCCCGUCACACCAUGGGAGCCGGUAAUACCCGAAGUCAGUAGUCCAACCUCGUGAGGACGCUGCCGAAGGUAGGAUUGGCGACUGGGGUGAAGUCGUAACAAGGUACC